rnacentral:rRNA from 1 species
CACGUAGGGCGCAAGCGUUGUCCGGAAUCACUGGGCGUAAAGGGUGCGUAGGCGGCGCGGUAAGUCGGGUGUGAAAUCUCGGAGCUUAACUCCGAAACUGCAUUCGAUACUGCCGUGCUUGAGGACUGGAGAGGAGACUGGAAUUUACGGUGUAGCGGUGAAAUGCGUAGAUAUCGUAAGGAAGACCAGUGGCGAAGGCGGGUCUCUGGACAGUUCCUGACGCUGAGGCACGAAGGUCAGGGGAGCAAACGGG